rnacentral:rRNA from 1 species
AUUGAACGCUGGCGGCAGGCUUAACACAUGCAAGUCGAGCGGGGUGAUGGUGCUUGCACUAUCACUUAGCGGCGGACGGGUGAGUAAUGCUUAGGAAUCUGCCUAUUAGUGGGGGACAACAUCUCGAAAGGGAUGCUAAUACCGCAUAAGUGCUACGGGAGAAAGCAGGGGAUCACUGGUGACCUUGGGCUAAUAGAUGAGCCUAAGUCGGAUUAGCUAGUUGGUGGGGUAAAGGCCUACCAAGGCGACGAUCUGUAGCGGGUUGGCGAGGAUGAUCCGCCACACUGGGACUGAGACACGGCCCAGACUCCUACGGGAGGCAGCAGUGGGGAAUAUUGGACAAUGGGGGGAACCCUGAUCCAGCCAUGCCGCGUGUGUGAAGAAGGCCUUAUGGUUGUAAAGCACUUUAAGCGAGGAGGAGGCUCUUUUGGUUAAUACCCAAGAUGAGUGGACGUUACUCGCAGAAUAAGCACCGGCUAACUCUGUGCCAGCCGCCGCCGUAA